CUGUGUCUGUUUGUGCUUGUAUGAACCACACUAUUCCAGUUUCUGUUGGUGGACAUUGGAUAAUCGAGUCUGGACUGGUCAUCGAGUGACAUGAGCUACGGACAACGCUGGGGUAUGGCGACAUACUAAAACCAUGAUAUCCAUGAUUGCCAGAUGCAUGAUGUGACUUCUCACGGUCAUUUCUAAUUUGGGAUCCUAUCGAUGGAUCUGAGGACGGCGACGUAUUUAUCAGAUCCACCAUUACUGGUUCGAGGACUAUUUCAUCCAGACAAGUUUCAAAUUUGAAUAGAAGAAACGAAUACAAUUUCAAUAGCUCAACAGGUGUCAAAAUUUGGUGCAAUCGGCAAACAAUCAACAUCAUGCACUGAAUUAAC